rnacentral:rRNA from 1 species
UACGGGGGGGAGCAAGCGUUGUUCGGAUUUACUGGGCGUAAAGGGCGCGUAGGCGGCGUGACAAGUCACUUGUGAAAUCUCCGGGCUUAACUCGGAACGGUCAAGUGAUACUGUCGUGCUAGAGUACAGAAGGGGCAACUGGAAUUCUCGGUGUAGCGGUGAAAUGCGUAGAUAUCGAGAGGAACACCUGCGGCGAAGGCGGGUUGCUGGGCUGAUACUGACGCUGAGGCGCGAAAG